rnacentral:misc_RNA from 1 species
GAAGUAAAAGUCGUAACAAAGGUCUCCGUAGGUGAACCUGCGGAAGGAUCAUUAUUGUAUAACCGAGGUGCGAGGGCUGUCGCUGACCCGAAAGGUCGUGCACGCCCGAGUGCCCUCACACACAUCCAUCUCACCCCUAUGUGCACCACCGCGUGGGUCCCCCUUUGGCUUGUUCGGAGGGGGGCUUACGUUUUCACACAAACUUUGUAUGCAGUGUAGAAUGUAUUUUUUGUUUUUGCGAUCACGCAAUCAAUACAACUUUCAACAACGGAUCUCUUGGCUCUC